GGGGUCGACUGGUUUUGACAGCGAGACCGGGUUGAUCGUAAGCAUGUAGAGCGCUGGGCCAUAGCUCUUAAAUCUCAUGAUUCAUCUUUUUUAAACGGCGAGAAUAACUACGCCCUAGCUGCAUAAUCCGAAUCAUAGUAGGAUAGUGCCUCGGUCUGCAAGGCAGACAAGCAGGAAUUCUCUCAAAGGCCUUGGUUUAUGGCACUUGAUCUAGAGAAUUCGUAAAAAUAAACCUAUCUGUCGCAGGGCUUUGAUGCGACGGAGAACUCCCGAUAGCUAUCGGGAUGAGUGAAGAUAAGGGAUGCGCAGGUGGUUCCUGGCCAGCAAGUCCACGAAAAUCUAAAUAGGAACUAAACAUGUAGAAAGCGAUGAAGUCGCUCGUUUGGACGAGGGUUCGAACCCCUCCGACUCCACCU
rnacentral:tmRNA from 2 species